CACCAUUUUAUUUCAGAGGUUGGACUACGCACGUCCAUUUUUCUCCCCAUGAAGUCUUGACUGGUUGACCUUCUUUUGCUUUACGCAGAUGAAGAGGAAGACGUAGAAUAGUGGUUUAUUUGUUAAAACCAACUUCACUCUGGUAUUGGAUCGUAAACGUGUCGCGGCCGCGAUAACAGGCAGGUUUUCAGAGCGGCCAUAUUGUUGGCAAGUUGCUCCCGAAGCUGAACAGGGCGAGCUGAGUUUCUCAACUUAUGCAGCGUCCAUUGAGCCUGCAGUCCAAGCCUGUAAAAAUGAGUGCGGCAUUUUCACAAGAGGUUGUCCUGAAAAGCACCACCAAGGUUUCCCUAAAUGAGCGCUUCACUAACAUGUUGAAGAACAAGCAACCCACUGCAGUGGGCAUUCGGGCCACCAUGCAACAGCAACAUUUGGCCAGUGCUCGCAACCGCAGGUUGGCCCAACAGAUGGAGAAUCGACCGUCUGUGCAGGCAGCUCUGAAUCACAAGCAGAGUUUGAAGCAGCGUCUGGGAAAGGGCAACAUCCAAGCCAGGUUGGGUCGUCCAAUCGGGAAUUUGAUGCGAGGUGGACCUACCCUUGGCCGAGGAGGAAUGCGAGGGAUGUCCCGAGGCAGUCUUCGAGGAAGAGGAGGUCUAAUGAGAGGUGCUCUUUCUUUGAGGGGAAAGCGAUUCUUCACAGGCGGCCCACUACAAGUCCGUAACUCAACUGGUCGCCUCGCAAUGCGCAGGGGAGGCCGUCAACGAGGUGGACCCGCUGGUAGAGGUGUGGCACUUGGGAGAGGAGCUGGUCGUGGAUUGAUGAGAGGCCGUGGUGGAAUGCGUGGCCGUGGUGGUUUUGCUGGCAGAGGCGGACGUGGUCGGGGCCGGGGCCGAGGUCAGGGAACAGGUCGACCUGCGGUCACCCGAGAACAACUGGAUAACCAGCUGGAUGCCUACAUGUCCAAGACCAAAGGUCACCUGGAUGCUGAGCUUGAUGCCUACAUGGCUCAGGCAGACCCUGAAAGUAUGGAGUGACCUGAAAAAGAAAAUCCAGAACUGUACAGAAGUGUUCUUCCUGUGAGUCGUCUAGGAGAGAAGCUGAUUUUAGUAUGUCAGUCUCUGCUUAUGAAUCUGCAAGGUUGUUUUAAAACUGUUUGAGUGUCUCAUUCUAAAUUACUUGCUUUGUUUUUUCAAGUUUUCAAAUACUUACGACAGAAUGUAUGAAGCCAAAUUUGAAUUUCUUUUUUUCUGAAGUGUUUAUUUCUUUCAUUUUUUUUCCACUUUUUUGGUUGACAUUUAAGUUUACCCUGGAAAACUUGACUACGGCACUGGAGUUUGACAACUAUCACCUCUUGAACCAACUAUGGUUGUUAGUUGUUUUAAUCCAAGUAAAUGGUCUUUUUCAAAAGCGACUGCCUUGCAUUAAAGCAGCCUGAUAUAUAUAUAUAUUGUGUCUCGAUUGACUUCAUUGAUAUAUAUAUAUGGGCUGUUCCAGGAACAAUGAUCAGAAGCAGAAUGGGUGUGGUACAAUGUAGUAGGUUUUUUUUAGCCAUCUUGUUAUGAAAUUGAGUUUUAUAUAUUACAUGUAAUAAUCAAAAAGUAUCUUUUAAAUCUGGUCACAAAUGUAAACCUCACGGUGGAGCUCUAGUCUCAUGCUUAUUCUCCAGUGAUAUUACACGAAGUGCGGAAGACUCUCCUGAACAGGAAGAGGCCCCAGGUCGAUCGCUUUAAUGGGAACGGUGGUCCUCCCCCAGAAGAAAGUGGCACGAGGUGAUCCUCAAGCUCGAGAAUUAUGGCGACACAAGAGAGAACAACAGACUUACAUUGAUUAGCAAGAGUGACUGUUUUGGGAUUCAAGUACGAUUCAAAUAAUGUCAUAAGGUGUGAAUGUACUAAAACAAGGUUACAAUACAGUUAAUUUAGUAAUUCAAAUUCUGCUUCGCUUGCUGAAAUAUGCGCGUGCGCAGUGAGAAAAUUUUAGCGGAUACAACCACGCAUGCGGGCAAGAAAAGACGUGUUAGAAAACCAGGAAAUUACGCCAUAAACCCUGGAAAAAAAUCGGGAUGAGGAAGAAACUAAGGCAGUGACACACAGCCUACUACAGUAUAGCUUGCUUGGCAGCAACAGCCUCUUGGGUUGAGUUUCGUUAUUCCACCGCGAGACGACAUCGUUCGAGUGCACGCGGAAAUACCCCUGAUGCUGAUACUUGUUUGAAGGAACUUUAGAAGUUGGACCAACUUUUUCUGUCUAAAUGCAAAUCAAAUAAAAGUUGAAGUAAUUCGAUGUGCCGCUGUUCGUUCGUGGCAGCCUGUGGGUUUCUACACUACGACAACGCCCAAAGGGACUCCGGUUUUGUUUUCCUCUGCAUUGCUGGUAGGAGUCAUGGAUUCACAGACGGAAGCGACCCUGGAAGGGAUUCCGAGCUGAUGGAAACCUGCGAUGUAUCUUGUUGGCACCGUUUGCGCUCUGGUUCCGUCUGGUGGAUCACAGAGGUCAGACAGUGCCGAGGUUAAGUCAUUUCUCUCGCAACUCUCUGUGGUCAACUCACUCUGCCACAGUGUUACUAAAGAGAAGUCACAGCUCUUCUGCCUCCUCCAUGUGAGUCUGACACACUUUCUCUGUGGCAGGGGAAGCAAGAUGGCGACGCAGAGCUGACCAUGUGCAGGCUUCUGUGUGCUGCCUUAUGGAGGCCAGUUCAUCGGAACUGCUGAUCAUCAUGUUGGUAGGUUGGUACAACACACACCUGUUGCUGAUGACUUUAAAUAUUAUUGACCUUGGGAGUAGCCCGACAAUGUUCGGUGAAGCUGCUCAGUGGGCUCUCCUGGUUUCUAUGCAGCAGAGGGGUGGCACCAUGAGCUCCGAAGUCCCUCAUGUUCAGCUGUCAAUAGAGUAAGAACACGGAGCUGACAGGCAGCAAUGAGAUGUUGUAUGGGACGCGGUACAAAGUGAUUCUACUGAAUAAUCAAAUAUUUUAACAGAAGAGGUCCAGAAUCAGCGCAAUGGGUCAACGUGGUAACAUUGUGGCAUAGAGCUUCCUUCGACAGGUUUCUGGUUUAAAGCAAACAUGCAAGCAUCUGAAUAAAAUCAAACUACUGGUGACAUGUUUUUGACUUUUAUCCAGUAUAUGUUAUAAAGCAAAAAGUAUUGUCAUUAUUAUUGAUGAUGAAUGAAACAUUUUCAAGCAUAUCUGCAUUAUCAAUAAGAACUGAACGUUUUUUUUUUUCCUUUUUAAGCCUCCCAUGGAUGAAACCUAUAGCUUCGAUUUCAUUCAUGAUUUUCUUCAAAUCAAGCAUCGGUUCACCUAGUACUAUAUAUUUUCGUAUUUUUUUUAAGUAAGAAAUGUCAUCGUUUUUUAAAUAUUUGAUCUCAUUACUAUGGCAAGAAUGAAAACUCAAGUUUAUCAAAUUAUUUUUUUAUUUUUUAUUUCUUGGUAUCAUCUUUUGUACAAAUAAAGAACUGAAGUUUCAAACAGAGCAGAGCAUCUCGCAGUCAAUAACCUGGGGAGCAUACACACUUGGCGAGGCUUUUGAGGAGCAACACCAGAACUCUUCAUGGAAAUAAGGGGAGGAAAAAAAGAUGAUUGCCGAGCCACACAACACAGAGCCGGCGUGGGAAUAUUUUGGCUUCAAACCUGAUGAGUGGGGUGAGCACAACAACGUAGACAAACUUGUUUGUCAAAUCUGUGUU